rnacentral:lncRNA from 1 species
GCGGCGUGAUGUUCGCACGCUUUCUAUCCGGGGAAGAUGCUCCUCACAGGCAGCUCCCGCCUGUCAGCCUCGGGCGCGCGCGCUUUCGGGCUGGGCUGCGGCCUGGCACGGGCGCGCCAGGUAAACGGGCCGGUCCGUUCCUCUCCUUUUUUUUUCCUUUUUCUUUUCCCUUUUUCAUUUUUUUUCUGUUUUUCCUUUAUAACUUUUGAUUUUGAACUUCAAAUCAAUUCAAAUAAAUCCCAAAAAAUUUGUAAAAUCAUAUUGUAAUAUGAUUCAACUUUUGGGACGAAUUUAUGCUCAAAAUAAAAUAUUUAAAAAUAGUUUUGCUUAUAAGAUUGCCUUUAGGGCUUAAUAAAUAGUAAAACAAAAUAUUUUUUGUACCCAAAUUUAAACACCAAAAAUAUGGGAUAGCUUAGCAAUGCAAUAAACCCCUUUUAUGCUCAAAACCUUAUUGGUUUUAAAAUCCAAAACUCAAAUGGGUAAAAUGAAUAAGGUUUAAAAUUGAGGAAAACUCUGUUAAAUGCCUUU